rnacentral:rRNA from 1 species
UACGGAGGGUGCAAGCGUUAUCCGGAUUCACUGGGUUUAAAGGGUGCGUAGGUGGGUUGGUAAGUCAGUGGUGAAAUCCCCGAGCUUAACUUGGGAACUGCCAUUGAUACUAUCAGUCUUGAAUACCGUGGAGGUUAGCGGAAUAUGUCAUGUAGCGGUGAAAUGCUUAGAUAUGACAUAGAACACCAAUUGCGAAGGCAGCUCACUACGCGAAUAUUGACACUGAGGCACGAAAGCGUGGGGAUCAAACAGG